rnacentral:lncRNA from 1 species
ACCUGGUCAGCUGCCAAGCUGUGCAGCGGAAGACAGAGGGGCCAGCACACACGGGCCCUCUCUCCCUCAGGCAGGUCUCCAUCCCACUGCCAGCUCUAGACCAGCAGGCCUGGGAGGAAAGAAGGUAGGCCAUCAGCUGGGGUGCAGAUGGAACACCUGCCAGUGGCUGAGAGUGUUCCUGAAAAUAAUCGAAUGAAGAGGCAAUACCUUUCCCCAGGGCUUGUUUCACAGAGGGCACCCAGGUUGGCACGAACACGUGCACUCAGUGACUGUGCCUGCUCUACACUUGGGCUUUUUCACCUCAAGGUUUACGCUAUGACUCAGCACAAGGAAUCGGUUCCUUCCUGCCUUCACCAGGAGGCUCAUGAAUUCACCGUCAUGCAGAGAUUUUAAAGACAACACCACUUCUGCUGGAUCAAAACCGGGAUUUUAAGUGAGCCCGCAGCAGACCCUUGGGAUUUUCUGGAACAGCGAUCCUAGUCUGCUCGGUAGGCAGCGGGAGUCAGCUCCAUCCUUCUGCAAGCGGACUCCCGUCAGAGACCAUCGCCCUCUGCCUGCAUGCUGUGCCCUGCGCCGCCCUGACCACCACUCAUGGAAAGAGAUGAUGAACUUAUUAAAGCCAACAACCGAAUCCUGUAUGUCAAACAGUAAUUCUAGUUGCCACAGAACCCAGUCUAGCAGUUGAGGUCCCAGAAUGGAAGGAAUCUGUCAGUAACAUUUUUGGCUCAUCAGGUCUUACAAAAUGUGUGAGAAGCAGAAAAGAAUGUUUUUCAAAGGCUGACAAAGGCUAGCCUGUGUGAAGUUUCAAUGUGGUUGAAGUUCACAAUGCUUUCUCCUCGUUUCCCACAAGGGUCCCCAUUAAAACAAUCUAGUGUUUCUCAGUACAUUUGUUGGCCUUGUCACAAAGUGAAAAGAACCAAGUCUGUGUGAACUUUCCUUUUCUGACCUCAUUUUCCUCUUUUGUUCGAGGACGGCUGUGUUUUUUCAGCUUCUGUGACUUACAGGAGACUCUGUGCCCAAUUUUCAAAGGAUCUGGGCAGUUGCACAGCCUGGUCUGUAGCUGUAAUCAAUUUAGCCAUGCCUCCAAAAGCAAAAAAUAGCUUAAAAGAAGCCAUCCUAGAGGGAAGAUGUGUGCUCCCUUCCCCUCGACCGGACGGAGUAUCAUCCCUCUCCUUUAUAUGGAGUUCCAAAAGUACUUUGGGCUGAAAGCCCAAAAAGAGGGCUAUAUCAUAGCGUUAAAAAUGGAACAUCAGAUGGAGAGGGUUCUCCCCAGGUUCCAUUCUCCCUCCUCUCGCUAGGCCCAGGCAAAACUCUACUUAAAUCAUCCCUGAAAGCUGGGGUCCAAUAGGCCUGAAGAGGGAGCUUCCCUGUUCCAUGCUAUUUUGGGAAUGUAAUCACAACAAUCAAUCAUCCACCAUUCCAAAUUUCCAGGGUCUAGAUGGGGUGUUUCACAGCGCUUGCCAUGGCCCACAUUUUAGCUGGCUGAUUGCAGGGGGGGCUUUUAAUGAGAAGCUAGAGUGUUUUAUCUAAUGAACCACCUGUCUCACAUGAUGAAGAUAAAUUUCUCUCUGGAGGCAGGACAGUGGACUAGAUGACACUUCCCAGUUUCUUUCAACAUAGAGAUGUUAUGACUCCCUUGUGAGUAUUCCUCUAGAGGAUGCUGCAUUCUUAACCCUUAAUUCCAACUUAAAUGGAUGCUCUCAGCUUCAUUUUUCCAUUGACUGGAUGUAAUUAGGGCAGUCACCAGUAAUGACACCUAACCUGGUCUUUUCCAUUAAGAGGCAACCUAAUAAAGAUGGGGCCAGACAUCAGCAGCCUUCAUAAAGUGGUGGAGGAAUCCUGAAGCCUAGACUGCUGAGCCUCUGCAGACUGUGCGGGGUGCGGGGCGGGAAAAUGAAGAAGGGAGAGAAGACAAUAGAACAGGAGGGGAGGGGAGGAGAGAGGAGAAAAGAGAAGAGAAGAGGAGAAAAGAGAAGAGAAGAGAAGAGAAGGUGGGUGCAGGGAGAGGUAAAGCUGGGCAGAAAAUGAGAUGGGGAACAAGUUGCGUUGCAUCCUAAACAGCAAGGGUCAAGGGGGGAAAGAGAGAAGGAGGAGGCUGAAGAAUAAGAAAAAAUGAUGGGCUGAUGGGAUUGAGAGAGGAAGGAAGAACAAGGAGCCUAAGGCUUGAGCCAGAAGUCAAUGGUCCAUUUUGGCCCUUUAGAGGACAUGAAGGAAGUGCCAAGGGAUCCCACCCUGCUGUGUCCAUCUUCAAGUGGUAUAAGGAUUGCCUGUCCCCUGGGUCCCCUUUGGGAUGCUGGGCCCUUUCACUUAGGUGAGUUAAUAGUCUGACAGGCCACAGUGGCAGCCUGGCAGUGCUGUGUCACAUGGCAGUGAUGCAGGUUAGUUUUAAGAGACAAAUCACCGAGGGCCUGGCUAACUGUGGAAUCUUUGAAAUGGCUGGUGGGUAGAGGGGGUGUGUGAGGAGGGAGGAAGCAGGAUGGGAAAGGGUAAACAGCUGCUGCUAUGACUUCCCUGGGGUCAGACUGGGGGGAAGAGCCAUGACUCAGCCUUUUGCUUUCAGAUAUGCCAAGUCCUGAACCACAGGGGACAUCAACUGGAGUCCCUGGAUGUGCUCUGUCCAACUUCCAGUUCCAUGGGGCGAGGGGAGUGGAUGGGGUCCACUUCUGAUGAGCUGGAACUUCCCAAGGCACGUGGGCGAGAGGGAGCACCGAGUGCAUGGAGAGAGGGUGGCUGGGACGGGGUGAACACGCCUAACUCUAGAGAUUCGGACCCAAAUCUGGACCGAGACUCCUCCACACCAGUCCUCCCACCUCUUGUUUUCAAGAAACAUUUUCCAGCUGGAAAACCUUAGAAGCUGGAAAAACAAGUAUCCCAAGGGGAAAAGUAUGAGGUGUUCUUAACUAAAGAAGCAUAAAAUAAAAUAAAACACAAAUGAAAGUGACAAAUGGAGGAGGGAAGCCUG